UGCUCGUGGUCAGGUCGUAAAAAUGGUUGUGCCGUGUCGAUUUAAGAAAAGUUCAUAUCACAGCCAUUUUGACGAGUUUGACCACUCUUGAGCA
rnacentral:ncRNA from 2 species